rnacentral:rRNA from 1 species
UACGUAGGGAGCAAGCGUUGUUCGGAUUUACUGGGCGUAAAGGGCGCGUAGGCGGCCUUCUUAGUCGGACGUGAAAUCCCCAGGCUCAACCCAGGAACUGCGUCCGAGACUGGGAGGCUAGAAUCCGGGAGAGGGAUGUGGAAUUCCAGGUGUAGCGGUGAAAUGCGUAGAUAUCUGGAGGAACAUCGGUGGCGAAGGCGGCAUCCUGGACCGGUAUUGACGCUGAGGCGCGAAAGCCAGGGGAGCAAACGGG